rnacentral:rRNA from 1 species
AAUCAACGCUGGCGGCGUGCCUAACACAUGCAAGUCGAACGCGAAAGCCCCGUUCGGGGGUAAGUAGAGUGGCGUCCGGGUGAGUAACACGUAGGUAAUCUACCUUCGGGUGGGGAAUAACCAGUCGAAAGAUUGGCUAAUACCGCAUAAUGCAGCGGCACCUAAUGGUGAUUAGUUGUUAAAGCGGGGGAUCGUAAGACCUCGCGCCUGAAGAGGAGCCUGCGGCAGAUUAGCUAGUUGGGAGGUAAUGGCUCACCAAGGCUUCGAUCUGUAGCUGGUCUGAGAGGACGGCCAGCCACACUGGCACUGACACACGGGCCAGACUCCUACGGGAGGCAGCAGUGGGGAAUUUUUGGGCAAUGGGCGAAAGCCUGACCCAGCAACGCCGCGUGAGGG